rnacentral:sRNA from 1 species
GGUAAUUUUAUAAUAAUUAUAUAUGAUACAUACCAGAUACUUGUGCAAGGUAUAUAAUGUUUUAAUGAUCUUUCAACAAUUGUUCUUUGUACUGAUUUUCAUUUAUCUAUACAAGCAUUGUCAUGGUCUUUUAAGUGACUUAAUGCUUUCAGUUUUCAGACUUAUUUAACACUGCAGGUAUGUUUAUUCAUGCUUACACACUUUGAUGAAAAACUUGUUGAAAAUGCAAAUUUGAUAUGGCAUUAAUAAGGGGGAUAAAUGUAUAUUUAAAAAUGCUGACCUCAAAUUUUAGUAAGAAAUGAAAGUGUUGUACAACAUUCUUUCUUCAGGUCAGUACUUUUUAUGAAUUUGCUUUGGUUGUUGUUUAAAAUGCUUGUGGUUGUCUGAUAUGCAUAUGUAUUAAAUAUUCCUGGGAACCUUGUAAAAUUUUCAUCUGUGAUAACACCAUAUUUCUUGUCUUUUUCGAUAAAAGUUAGUGAUAAAUACAUGUAUAUUAAAAUGUAGUAAAUCAC